GAUGAAGAACGUAGCGAAACGCGAUAAGUAAUGUGAAUUGCAGAAUUUAGUGAAUCAUCGAACUUUUGAACGCACAUUGCGCCCUCCGGCAUUCCGGGGGGCAUGCCUGUCCGAGCGUCACGAAAACCCCAUCACACUCGUUGUGGUCAUGGCUGCAGUGAGUCGUCUCCAGCGGAGAGGGUCACGCCGCUGAAAGGAAUGGUGCGGAUGAGUUCCGAUGGCCGAACGUAGUACUUGACAACCGUCGGCCGAUGGGACCCUCCAUCUCGCCCUGACGACGUACCCCCGUCGUACCCCCGAUCAGGUGGACCUCGGAUCAGGUAGGGAUACCCGCUGAACUUAAGCAUAUCAAUAAGCGGAGGA
rnacentral:misc_RNA from 1 species